UUACAGCCAUAUCACAUUGAAACACCAGUUCUCAUAAGAUCACUAAAGUUAAGCAAUGUCAAGUCUGGCUAGUACCUAAAUGGGUGACGGCUUGGGAAUACUAGGUGCUGUAAG